rnacentral:rRNA from 1 species
UACGUAGGGGGCAAGCGUUGUCCGGAUUUAUUGGGCGUAAAGAGCGUGUAGGCGGCUUGGAAGGUCAGCUGUGAAAACUCGAGGCUCAACCUCGAGACGUCGGUUGAAACCACCUGGCUAGAGUCCGGAAGAGGAGAGCGGAAUUCCCGGUGUAGCGGUGAAAUGCGCAGAUAUCGGGAAGAACACCCGUGGCGAAGGCGGCUCUCUGGGACGGUACUGACACUGAGACGCGAAAGCGUGGGGAGCGAACAGG